rnacentral:rRNA from 1 species
GGGUGGUCCGGAUUGCGGCUGCGGCGAGCUCGCCCUUGCAGGUGGUGGUUACCAACGAGGGGGUCUCCUCUGGUGUUAGAUGUUGGGUUAAGUCCCGCAACGAGCGCAACCCACGUCUUUAGUUGCCAGCAUUUAGUUGGGCACUCUAGAGAGACUGCCGGUGAUAAACCGGAGGAAGGUGUGGAUGACGUCAAGUCAUCAUGCCCCUUACAUCCUGGGCUACACACGUACUACAAUGCUACGGACAAAGGGCUGCAAGUUCGCGAGGACAAGCAAAUCCCAUAAACCGUGGCUCAGUUCAGAUCGUAGGCUGCAACUCGCCUACGUGAAGGCGGAAUCGCUAGUAAUCGCAGGUCAGCAUACUGCGGUGAAUACGUUCCCGGGCCUUGUACACACCGCCCGUCACACCAUGGAAGUUGGCCACGCCCGAAGCCGUUACUCCAACCCUUGUGGAGGAGGACGUCGAAGGUGGGGCUGAUGACUGGGGUGAAGUCGUAACAAGGUAUCCGUACCGGAAGGUGCGGAUGGAUCACCUCCUAA